AUGUACCACGCGUACACUGCGGUUCUGAGCGCGCCGUCCGCGCCCACCUGACGACUGCUCGCUACGUUUUGUAGCC
rnacentral:sRNA from 1 species